UGCGGGGUAGAGCAGUUGGUAGCACGCCUGGCUCAUAACCAGGACAGUCGCAGGUUCGAGUCCUGCCCCCGCUA
rnacentral:tRNA from 1 species